rnacentral:lncRNA from 1 species
UGUCAUGGCGAUUGAGUGGGGAAGAUCACCGCGGAGUCGCGGCGCGCAAAAGUGGUGAGAGAGAGAAAAAAGAUAUUCCUGCCGACUUCCUCGUAGCUUCCUCGUAAUCGCGAUCGUGAUUGUCGUCGAGUUAACCCCGGCCGAUCGUUUCCACAUGCGCGCAACGUGCAACAGCUUGAUGGAAGCAGCCGAGACAGUAGCCUAACGGACCCUGGACUUUCGAUCGACAUGCAUUUGUUAGGUCUCGGACGUUCCGUUUAAUCAAACCGGCUGUGGCAAAAAGUUCCUCCUCAUCAUCGAUCGAAGUUCAUGUUUCUUCCUUCCCGGCUUUAUCAUGACGUUCAAUGCGUUGCAUGGAGAUUUCUGCCAUCAUAUCGGUGGAUCGGGAACAUCGCGGAACACGGGCCUGAUUGUUGUUUCAUUGCGAGCGGAGCACAGGCAGCACACGUAAUGGACACGCCAAACGUAUACCGGAUGGGGAUUGCCCCAUGUUCCAAGUAUUACAAGAGCGAUCUUCUGCGUGCCGAGACUGUCGAUGCGGCAAAGAGACCGUACAUGGGACGUCCCACGUGAACCCUGCGUUUCUCGUUCGCCCAAGGUGUGGCGCCAAAGAAUCCGGAGAACGACCUUAGACGCGACCUCGCCUAGGCUCGACAAAAGUCGCAUGCACCCAUAGUUUAGGUUUAGGCAUAGAAAAGUGAGCGCAGUCUGUUAAGAACCAUCUACAUUCCGGUUGUCAUCUUCCUUCGAUCGAUAUAAUCGUAUAGCGUUGCACUAUUGUAAUAUUGUAAUUUGUUUUUCUUUAAAUAUCUUUUCAUGUGCAAACGUCACGUAUUUUAAUCUUCCUUUAUAAAUAACAAUAUGCAUAGAGUCUGUUACUUCAUCAACAAUAAUAACAAUGAUAGAAAAUGUAACGUUAUUAGUAAUGUAUCGACCUGUCAAUAACCCACUUUUGUCUCUUAUUCAAAUUUUAUUUCGUAUAAAACACGUUUAAUAAUAGUAUUACUUUUUAGAUCCUUCAGAGCAAUAUAUAUCUAUUUUUUUAUACGUAUAUCAAAACUGUAAAAAUAAUUGUGUGUUGUCUAGAGAUUAAUUUGGAAGCUUUAAGAAUAAAAACCGAUUGCGAUUUAAAUAAUUCUUUAUAAAUAUAAUUUUUAAUGAAUUAAACCGACUCCGAGCAUGUGAUUAUAAUAAGACUGAUUAGCGAGUGCGAAUACUCGCUUUUUGCCACAGGACACGUUUCGGUCGCGUAGGCGAUCGGCUCGUACAGAGUGUGGGUAGACGAGUUUACAUCGCUCCGCAUAACAGAGCCGGUGUGUCCUAUAAGUGUAUCGUCGAACGUAACAGGAAGUAACGCGGUGCGAAUAUUAACGAGCGUGCGCGGGCGCGCACAACGAAAGCGUUUACGGCUCGUUCUUCGCGCUGCCUUCGCGUUUUGCAACACGUGCACAUGCACGCGCGCACUCUUGAUGUUUUCGCACCGCGUUAGCCUUUCAUGAAACGGACGCAAACAAUAUACGUAAUGUCUCGUCUCGCCUGUACUUGUAACUUAAAAGCUUUAAAGAUGAAGAUAAAUAUGUCGUGAGAAAAAUUA